AAGUCUCACCACUGAGAGGAAAACAUCACUGGUCCACCUCUGCAUCAGCACUGAACGUGAAUUCUUUACUCAUCAGAUACGCAGCGACACCAUGAUGGGUGUGGAUCUCCAAUGGAUGACAUCACGAGGAGUGCAAAAGCUGUUGAUGCUUCAGCCGUCCAGGCCAGGGGUGCAUGGAGGUUCCUUGGUCCUGCUCCAUGCACUAUUUCCCUCAGUGGUUCAGUUCUGGCUGUAUAGUCGGGGAUGUGUGUGCGGCUGUAGCCUGUCAGUCCAAGGAAUGACAACAUUCCUGACACAGUAAUGGGGCGUCUGUGGGAUUUGGAGAGUCCUGCUCCGUCUCCUGAGAUUUCCCUUCGCAGGAAGAUGACUG
ensembl:lncRNA